rnacentral:rRNA from 1 species
GAGUUUGAUCCUGGCUCAGGAUGAACGCUGGCGGCGUGCCUAAUACAUGCAAGUCGAGCGAAUGGAUUGAGAGCUUGCUCUCAAGAAGUUAGCGGCGGACGGGUGAGUAACACGUGGGUAACCUGCCCAUAAGACUGGGAUAACUCCGGGAAACCGGGGCUAAUACCGGAUAACAUUUUGAACUGCAUGGUUCGAAAUUGAAAGGCGGCUUCGGCUGUCACUUAUGGAUGGACCCGCGUCGCAUUAGCUAGUUGGUGAGGUAACGGCUCACCAAGGCAACGAUGCGUAGCCGACCUGAGAGGGUGAUCGGCCACACUGGGACUGAGACMCGGCCCAGACUCCUACGGGAGGCAGCAGUAGGGAAUCUUCCGCAA